rnacentral:lncRNA from 1 species
CUCCCCUCAAGCUAAUGCACCGAGCCAAGCCACUUUGUGUCCGACUGCAGGGGCACCCGUACUGGAAUGUCUCUCAUCUUGUUAUUAUGGUCCAAUGCAAUGACUCUUUCCACUUGCCAAUUCUCCCACUUCUCUGUGGAAUACAGUACAAGUUAUGUCUCAUCACCCAUCCCUUCCUCAGUGAGGAACACCACCUCACCUCCACCUGAGCUUGCCAGCUGGGUCAGAAAGGACGAAUCAGUUCCCCCAGUCAGAACCCUGCGUCUCUCUGGGACCCAGAGACAGAAGAAAGGAGAAUCAAAAGCAGACUGGGCAGCUGCUGAAUAUGUGACAGGCAGCUAUCCAUCACUUGGACAUCAACAUCAGGCAGCAGUAUCUCCAGAGCCAGCUGGGGGUUCCCACCUUCUACAUAGAGUCACUCACCCAGGUGAUCCCUCAGGUCCCUCCCCUGCAUCUCUGUGAUAGCAUAACUAGGGGAGGGUGACUGGGGCAGCAGGCCUGGGUGCCACCUUUGUUGAGAGCUGCAAAAAUAGCCACAGCCAUAGUGACAUCUGAUUGUACCCCUGCAAUCGGCAAUGCAUCAGUCAGCUCUGCCCCGGACAUCUCACAGUUGCCAGGGGCACAGAGCUGUCCACUUUUACCUCCAUGUUCAUGUUUCAGAGAUACCUUCCUAAAGGUCAGCAUGCUUCCAGAGGCACAGCCCCCCAUUUCUGAGAUGCUGUCACCAGGUAAGGAAAAUAAUGUACCAGCUUGAAAUAGACACAGAUGAGCCCAAACCUGGCCUUCUGGAAAAGGCAGCACAACCACUUGCAUCAGACAUCAGCUGCUCGCAUACACAGGGGAGCCAGGACUUCUGUGUCAACUUCAGCUGGCAUAUCCAGAGGAAUAAGGUCCAGCAGGAAUGGGACUUUCUGGACAUACUGUGGGAAUGACUGCAAGCUUUCCUACCUUUGGCUCCAAAGCUGUCCAUGUGGAGCUCAGACCAUAACAAAGAGAUGGUUACUGCCCCCGGAGGAGUAAUGACAUGGCCAGGCACCCAGGGCAGCAACCACACAGAAGGGGAAAAGCAUGUUCCAAUUACCGCCUCCACCAUGCCUGCAUGGCUUCAGCAGCUGCCAUUAUUUUCUACCUUCUCCUAAGUUGAUGCUUGAGGCAGCGACCCUGGGCACCCUGCCCUACUUGUGCCACUGACUAUGUGGGAGGAACUGCUUUUCCUGAGAAUGCACCUUGUUUUAAAUCUGCAAGUAAAGCAGAGAUGGGGCUUGCCCAGGUGGAGCCUAAGGAUGUUUAUACUUCCUGCCCUGGGGAUUGAAGUGCUCUAUGCAAGUGGUUCCCUACCCCUCACCACUUCUGCCACAUACUGAAGAGGCUCAGUCUAUACAUCUCUUUUUAAAGGUCCCUGGCGAUGGCUGACCAGAGAUUCCAGAUCCCUCACUCCUUGAAGCUGGGCGGGAAAUAGGCA